CCUACGGGUGGCAGCAGUGGGGAAUAUUGGGCAAUGGGCGCAAGCCUGACCCAGCCACGCCGCGUGAAGGAAGAAGGCUUUCGGGUUGUUAACUUUCUUUUAGAGGGAAGUGCAGAAGACAGUACCUCUUGAAUAAGCCACGGCUAACUACGGGCCAGCAGCCGCGGUAAUACGUAGGUGGCAAGCGUUGUCCGGAUUUACUGGGUGUAAAGGGCGUGCAGCCGGGAAGACAAGUCAGAUGUGAAAUCCGGCGGCUCAACCGCGGAACUGCAGUUGAAACUGUUUUUCUUGAGUACCGGAGAGGUCAGCGGAAUUCGUGGUGUAGCGGUGAAAUGCGUAGAUAUAAGGAAGAACACCAGUGGCGAAGGCGGAUGACUGGACGGCAACUGACGGUGAGGCGCGAAAGCGUGGGGAGCAAACAGGAUUAGAUACCCUAGUAGUC
rnacentral:rRNA from 1 species